GAUUCCUUUGAUUUCUUUCUCAGGAACAGGGCGGAUACCUGACCAACUCGUGAUCCUAGACAUGAAGCAUGGAGUGGAGGCGAAAAAUUACGAAGAGAUUGCAAAAGUUGAGAAGCUCAAACCAUUAGAGGUAGAGCUGCGACGCCUAGAAGACCUUUCAGAAUCUAUUGUUAAUGAUUUUGCCUACAUGAAGAAGAGAGAAGAGGAGAUGCGUGAUACCAACGGUGAGGGGGAAGGCGACUCUUACUUCUUAAGUGACCCAUAAAUGAGACAGUCUCCAAACUUUCAAUUCUGGUGUACCCUUUUCUCAGUUUUGCCAAGAGUCAACAAACACUCGGGUCCUAUACUUCAGCAUCUUUUCAAUGUUCUGUCUCAUUGGACUAGCUACCUGGCAGGUCUUCUACCUGCGACGCUUCUUCAAGGCCAAGAAAUUGAUUGAGUAAUGAAUGAGGCAUAUUCUCCUCCCACCUUGUACCUCAGCCAGCAGAACAUCGCUGGGACGUGCCUGGCCUAAGGCAUCCUACCAACAGCACCAUCAAGGCACGUUGGAGCUUUCUUGCCAGAACUGAUCUCUUUUGGUGUGGGAGGACAUGGGGUACCACCUACACCCAACAAGUCAAUGAGGGACUUCUUUUUAAUUUGGUAGGAUUUUGACUGGUUUUGCAACAAUAGGUCUAUUAUUAGAGUCACCUAUGACAAAAAAUAGGGGUUACCUAGAUAAUGCCAAAGUCAGCAUUUGUCCUGGGUUCCCUUGUGUGAUCUGUUUGGACUAUGUUUUCUUUUCUUCUCCCACUUGCUCAGCAGCUUGGGCUUCCAUUCUAGUUCUUUUACCAAGAUUUUUGUGUGACCAUGUUGACUUCAUUUGGAUUGCCCUCUUUCAAUUUCCUU
rnacentral:sRNA from 1 species